AUAGCAAUACAGAACUCUUUAGAGGCCCUGUAAUUGUAAUGAGUCCACUUGAAAUCCUUUAACUCUGAACAAUUGGAGGGCAAGUCUGGUGCAGAGCCACUGACCCGUGCGUGCUGCAGCUGAAACGCCUGCUGCUG
rnacentral:rRNA from 1 species